AUCUGGUGAAAGAUCCCCAAAGGGAGACCCUCACUCAAGCCUCGGGAUGUGGCGCGGACCCAAGAGAGACGAGGAGACUG
rnacentral:pre_miRNA from 7 species